rnacentral:rRNA from 1 species
AUACGGAGGUGGCAAGCGUUACUCGGUUUGACUGGGUGUAAAGGGUCCGUAGGCGGCCAGAUAAGUGGAAGGUGAAAUCCUUUUGCUCAACGGAAGAACUGCCUUUCAAACUGCUUGGCUUGAGGUUGGAAGAGGAGAGUGGAACUGUCGGUGUAAAGGUGAAAUUUGUGGAUAUUGACAGGAACGCCCGUGACGAAGGUGACUCUCUGGUCCAAUCCUGACGCUGAGGGACGAAAGCUAGGGUAGCAAACAGGAUUAGAUACCCCGGUAGUCC